CGUCCUGCAGGACUUCAAGGGGUCCUACCUAGAAACCAGAUGUGUGAUUUGCAGGCAGCUUGGACUGGCUUCUCAGAUCCAAGGAGUCCAGAGGCCAGAAGAAGGCUGUGCCCGAGUGAUGGCCAAUCCCAGACCUGCAGAAGGUUAUCCAACUCUCCAUCCCGUAGCAGUGGGAACAUGGGCUGCCUUGAUGGCAGGGCUAACUGCCUCGGCACGAGGAUGGCAGUCGGCCACCACGAACCUCCGUCUCCGCUGGCCUCGUGGGCUGAAGAUGCUCUCUGCGGGCAGGAGGCGAUGCUGCGGGGAGGCAAGGCCGGAAUGCAAGCUCCUGCCCACCACGUUCCACAUGUGGCGUUGAAGGAGACGUUUGUCCUGUUGCCUCAGUUUCCCAGCUGUACCAGCAGUGCAGGGAGGAUGGGGAGAUAUUAAUAUUCUCUGUGCUGGAACAAGGAACAGAGGAGUCAUGCUCCCCACUAUCAUAAUGUUCAAAAAUUGAAGUACCUGCGGUACUUGUAAUUCGAGGUCUGCAGACAGGCAGUUCUGGUAUCCAGCUGAGGGGAGCAAUGAUGUGGGUACAUUGACUACUAGUACUGUUUGCAGAAAAGAAAACCUAUCAGUACAUGACUCUCAAAUUACCUUGCUUGCGUUGCUGAAUCAUCUAACUUAUCAUGCAGUUGUUUAGAUGCUCACUCCUCCAGCUUAUCAUUUUCUUUUAUUCCAUUAUAUUUUUUCUAUUCUUUCCCCUAGUUCCCAAUGAUCUCAUACAAAAUUAACUGACAUUGUGUUUCCUAGUCUUUAACAACUAUUAAAGCAGCUUUAGCAAAUGAUUGCUAAAGAAGUCUUUUAAGCCUCCCAAACAUAAUCAUGUAUUAAAAAAAUAAAGGAAAUAGCAUGCUGUGUUAAAGUGACUUCACAGGCUUAUUUCUUUCUACCAAUUAAUGGUUUUGAAUGAAGCUGUAAUUGAGCAAUAACUAACACUGAAGACAGAUUGUCUUAUCUCGCUUGUUUAGAUCUUGUGCAUAACUUUUAUAACAAUACUGA